rnacentral:rRNA from 1 species
AACGAACGCUGGCGGCAGGCCUAACACAUGCAAGUCGAGCGCGCCCUUCGGGGUGAGCGGCGGACGGGUGAGUAACGCGUGGGAACGUGCCCUUUUCUACGGAAUAGCCUCGGGAAACUGAGAGUAAUACCGUAUACGCCCUUUGGGGGAAAGAUUUAUCGGAAAAGGAUCGGCCCGCGUUGGAUUAGGUAGUUGGUGGGGUAAUGGCCUACCAAGCCGACGAUCCAUAGCUGGUUUGAGAGGAUGAUCAGCCACACUGGGACUGAGGCACGGCCCAGACUCCUACGGGAGGCAGCAGUGGGGAAUCUUAGACAAUGGGGGCAACCCUGAUCUAGCCAUGCCGCGUGAGUGAUGAAGGCCUUAGGGUUGUAAAGCUCUUUCAGCUGGGAAGAUAAUGACGGUACCAGCAGAAGAAGCCCCGGCUAACUCCGUG